UACGUAGGGUGCAAGCGUUGUCCGGAAUUAUUGGGCGUAAAGGGCUCGUAGGCGGUUUGUCGCGUCGGGAGUGAAAACUCAGGGCUUAACCCUGAGCCUGCAUUCGAUACGGGCAGGCUAGAGUUCGGUAGGGGAGACUGGAAUUCCUGGUGUAGCGGUGAAAUGCGCAGAUAUCAGGAGGAACACCGAUGGCGAAGGCAGGUCUCUGGGCAUUAACUGACGCUGAGGAGCGGAAAGCAUGGGGAGCGAACAGG
rnacentral:rRNA from 1 species